ACGACCUUACUUGAACAGGAUCUGUUCUAUAGGCUCGUACCUCUGUUUCCUUGAGUUCUAAGGAGACAGGAAACCAAACCUGGUGGAUGAAUCGUGGCCGUCAGAUCAGAGCGUGAUUAACGGCUAGAUGAUCUUCGGAUUAUCACGGCUGUAGAGGAUCGUUCUCAGCUGGUUCUUCUAGCUGGGAUGGUCGGUCGGUUGUCUGACAGGUU